UACAGAGGUCUCAAGCGUUGUUCGGAUUCAUUGGGCGUAAAGGGUGCGUAGGUGGUGAUGCAAGUCUGGUGUGAAAUCUCGGAGCUCAACUCCGAAAUUGCACCGGAUACUGCGUGACUCGAGGACUGUAGAGGAGAUCGGAAUUCACGGUGUAGCAGUGAAAUGCGUAGAUAUCGUGAGGAAGACCAGUUGCGAAGGCGGAUCCCUGGGCAGUUCCUGACACUGAGGCACGAAGGCCAGGGGAGCAAACGGG
rnacentral:rRNA from 1 species